UUCUCCGAUGAUGAUCCAGAUUGUACAUCCGUUCUUCUGAAAUUCUCAAUGAGGAAGAACCGGCGAUCUGAAUUGAGGAUAC